rnacentral:lncRNA from 1 species
CCAGCCUGGGCCAUUUCCAGAGGCAGCAGCUGGGAGGAGACGGUUCUCAGGUGCACUUAGGCCAGGUGUCGAGCUGCAGCGGACAAGACUCACGUCCUGGUGGUGAGAGACAUUCAGAUCCCCAAGUGGAGGUCCCAGUCAGAGAGAUGAUACGGCUUAAUGAGAAAUCAGUGACGUUCAAGGACGUGGCUGUGGAUUUCACUGAGGACGAGUGGAGACAACUGAAUCCUACUCAGAGACAGCUGUACAGGGACGUGAUGCUAGAGAACUACAGAAACCUAAUUUUUCUAGGUAAGCCCUUGUGACUCAGUCUCCCUUUUCUGACUUCUCGUCUUCCUGUGUUGUCAAACACCCUGGGAUGAUCUGAGGUGAUUAGCUG